UACCAGCACCCCGAGUGGUCGGGACGUUUAUUGGGCCUAAAGCAUCCGUAGCCGGUUCUACAAGUCUUCCGUUAAAUCCACCUGCUUAACAGAUGGGCUGCGGUAGAUACUAUAGAGCUAGGAGGCGGGAGAGGCAAGCGGUACUCGAUGGGUAGGGGUAAAAUCCGUUGAUCCAUUGAAGACCACCAGUGGCGAAGGCGGCUUGCCAGAACGCGCUCGACGGUGAGGGAUGAAAGCUGGGGGAGCAAACCGG
rnacentral:rRNA from 1 species